ensembl:lncRNA
AAACGUAACCAUUUAUUUUUACCAGGAUUACUUGCUGAUAAUUUAAACAGCCGGUAUGCAGAGUAGAGUGGAUGAAUGAGCUCUUGUGUGUGUGUGUGUGUGUGUGUGUGUGUGUCGAAGGAAACAUGACCUGGUCCCCCUCCUGCCCAUUGUGCGCCUUAAAGACGUGUAUUGAUGCCUGUCAAUCAGUCCACCACAUCGCUCAGCGAGGACAAGCGAGGGGAAACAAAGAUUUUUUUUUCUUCCUAUGUAGAAGCAGAAAUGUAGAAAACCUCGGAUUAUACCAAAAAAAAAAGAAAACCCCACCCUUGAAUAACAUUACAGGCUGUUAAUCAAUGGCUCGCACCACAGUGGAUUUAAGCAGAGCGGGCGGCCCUUGUCCACAGUCCCUCACCCGUCAUCCUUUAAAGCUCGACCCCUAAACUCCUGUGAAUCCCGGAGUAGGGACGAAGCCAAGGACGGAGCGGGCGGCUCAUUGUGAUUUAAUCUCUCGCUGUCCCUCUCCCUACCGCCAGAACAAACAUCAAAUAUGGCCUCCUUAUCAGGCAGGCCCUGCUCUAUCUAUCUAUCGCCAAUCAAUAUCUUCCACUCUGUGUGUGCAGGAAUUGUGUGUGUGUGUGUGUGUGUGUCUGUGUGUGUGUGUUUGUGUAAAACAGGUCUCCAGGGCUGUGCUAACUAAGGUCAAAGAUCAGGUAUAAGCCUCCAGCGUGGAAAGACAGAUGUGGCUGUGAGGGAAACAAGAUAAAAGAAAGGAAAAGAAGAAAGAAGCGAGAGAUUUAUGGAAGUUGCGUGUGUCCUGAACCACAGAUCAUAAAAAAGAGAGAAGGCACUGUUCUUACCUGCGCGGACGUCGGACUCUCACAAUGGACUGAAGUGCCAGCAACUCAACUCAACUGCAGUCACACAGUGGCGAAGUAUCUCCUUGUUAAACGCUUCCUUUGUUCACAGGGAAUAGACGAACACCAAAAGGCGCAUCUCGUGCUUCCCGUUUGCAGCGAGGAUGUAGAACCGAAUGUUGUGCUGGAGCUUUUCCGCAGAUUGACACACACAACCACCUUCACGUGGACAUGAAAUUAGAAUAGUGAAAAAAGUAUGCAUAUGCACCGAGGGGGGGCUCCUGAGGUGAUAUGACACUCUGGAUGUGCUUCCAUUAAACACGAAACAGCUCCAUAAAGCUGCAAAAUGCUGCUUGAGCUGCAGACGGCUGCAAUGACUGUUAGAUGGAAAGAGAGAGAGAGAGAGAGAGAGAGAGAGAGGUGGUGUUGCUGGUGGAGGAGGGGGGGGGGGGGGCAUCCUUUGUUCUGUCAAGGACUUAACACAAUCAAAGUGUACAGGGGGUCAGGAGCGCACAGGCAUAUAUCAACUUCAAUCUCUUUUUAAUGAAAAAUCCUGCCCUCUCUAAAAUGUGCAAAUUAACCUCUUCUCCUCCCUCCCUCCCCUCCUGCCGCUUCCCCUCCUCUCUCCCUCGGGGAGGCCCCUCGACUCCCACUCUCUUCUUUUGCUCUGCAACCUCGGCCCUGUCCCUCCUCUUCCUCCCUGUUGCCAGCUUCACUUUCAUAAAUGGAUCCACGUCUUCCCCGUUCUCGGGCGGAGGGCAGGGCAGUAAUCAAGCUGAUAGCGGCGUUGAUGGACACAGAGGCUCCUGCUCUGCAUCAACUUGUUGCUUUAGCCGGCCAACCCCGACAGCAAUUAUCGGUCACUUGGGUGCCAAAAAGGAGACAAUAAUAAUAAUAAUACCAACAACUUAAAAUCAAAGCAGAAAAAACGUCCUAAAGUUGUGGGGUCCAGCAAGCGCAUUUUAAAAUCCACCCUUCAUCCUCCUCUGCUCUCUUUGGUCUUCAUCGCUGUCUCUCCCUGAACCAACACACACUCAGAAUCAGGCUAUUACCCUGAUUAUCCCGAUGAGUUGGUCAGAUCCUCGCCUUCUCAUUCUGCCCGUGCUGAUUGUAAUUUAGAAAUUACACCUAAUGAGGAUUUUUUUUUAAAACACGCUCCGCGCUGCCGGCGCCGCGCUGCUCCCUGCCCUAAUGGAUGUACUGGUAUGGAAUCCAUCUUUCCUACUUUCUGCCCUGCAGGGGGUC